rnacentral:lncRNA from 1 species
UUGAAGCUGCGGAAUUUGCCGGAUUAACUCAGGUAAGGGGGGUUAUCAACAAUUAACGGGUAUUAUGGGAGGUAUGUACUGGGUAGUGAUAGACCAUUGUUUUACCUAUGAUUGGAUGAUAUAUGUUGAAUUUGUGAACUUUUGAGAUGAACGAAAUUUGGAUUAUAAUUGACGAAAUUCGUAGGAAUUAGAGGUAGAAAGGUUAGAAAUUUGUGAAAUCGAAAGUGUAUGAUUC